UAUCUUAUACACCUUGAGCAUCAAAAUGAUGUAAGUACUGUACAAGAGCAGCACACACAGUGAUAAAUAUUCAACCAAAACUAUUCUUCUUUACUGAGGUACUUGCUCCUUGUGCCUGUCAGUGUAGACACACACACAUUUUUUUUUGAAAUUGCAUUGCUAUUUAUGAUUGUGCUUGUGGCCCAGGUCUUGAUUUGUCAGGUCCACAGAGGAGAAUCAGCAUUAGAGUCAGGACUGCAAACUCAGAUUUCUUUUCUGUGCUGAAUACUCUCUCUCUUCCUUUGUUAUGUUGGCCCAAAUAAGGAAUAUUACAGUAAAAUUAACAAAAUUAAUAUUAGUUUAAUCGUCAGUAUUUUCCAGGCAAAGGAAAUUCAGGAGAAAUACAGAAAAUAUCUUCAAUUACCUUUGUAUUUGCUUAAUAUUUUAUAAAAUAUUUUGAGACUGGAUCACCAAUAAUAAAAUUGUACAUAAAUAUAUUAAACUUGCUUUGCCACCUGUCUUGAAGUCAACACUGAAAAUUGUUCUUCCAAUUUGAGGUUAAAAAUUACAUCUAGUUCUUCAAAUAACUGCUACUUGUAUCCUUUAGUGGUUGAAAUAUAGUACAACAAAUUCAGAUCACAAUAAAUUUUAUUUUCAUCUGAGUUUCAAACAAGACCUGACUAUGAGCUGAGAAAUAAAUGCUUAUGAAUGUAUUUUGGUAUGCAGGUAUGCAAAAACGGCAACUUCUACCUUAGUUAGGCUUUUGCUCUAAUUAGCAAAACCACUGCUCUUAUUCCUUUAUGAUUAUUUCCAAACUAAUUAUUUUCAAAUGUUCAUUCCUCACUAAGAAUUAAUUACAUGUGAAGUUUGAGUUUUAAAAUUUAAGCAAUGUUUUGAACUCCACAGACAUGAAGAUUGGUGCUUCAGUCUUGCACCUAAUUCUCAGAUCUUUCUAAUCAGCUCUCAGAGUGGGCUGGACCUAUAGUGCUUACUCACUAAAAUUUCAUCCUUGGACCAAACAGAAAUAUCAGUGCGCUUUCCCAGAUGCGAUUCUUCUUUGUAUAUUGAUUUGUGUCUAUGUUAUUUACUAUAAAAUAAGAAAUCAAGCUGCUCAUAUCCGAUGUCUAAAAUCUUUUCCUUCACCAAAAUGUAUAGCAAACUUUUUGUUCUUUAUCUGUUACUGCUAGAUUGUCUGAAGUGGAUACUUUAUUUAGCACAUAAAAAGCUGUCAUUAAAUUAAACUUCUGUGGUAUCCAGGGAGAUCAUUAUGAUAGUUCUAUGUUAGGAUAUUACAUAUAUUUUCUUUGUUGUAACCAAUAGAAAGAUUCUUCUUUUGGUCUUUAUCUACGUUGCUUUGUUUAAUUAACUGAUGAAUUAUGAUAUCUCAGUAUUUUAAGAGCAAAGAAUUCUGUAUUUUCUCUCACCUUUGCACAAAGUUAAUAUGAAUCGGAAAUAAUGUCACUUUUUUUUUGUGAGAUUAGAUCCCAUAUGCACAUAUAUGAAAUGUAAUAAAUUUUAGUUAUACCUUGCUCAGAUGCUGAAAAUGCCAUUAGAAGAGUAAGGUUUAGAUGGUUGCCAAUUUUACAUUGCCUUACUGAGCUGCUUUGCUUGUAACAGCCUUUAAUUUCAGAUGGGAAAAAGCCCUGCAACAAUUCUUUAGCGAGUCAAAAUGCAAAAAUCUAAAUAGCUAAAAGAGCAUUCUUUGCUGAUUGCCCAUACCCCUGUGCUCAUCCUACAGCGCCGCCCUCACCCCCGCCCCCCGCAAUCUGGUGAAUUCUUGUACACCUCUGUGUAGCAUACUUGUAAAAUGAGGUCCUCAAGAGUCUCUCCAUUGGGAUUAUGCUAUUAUGUCAGCUAGAAAGGUAUACAGAACCUUGCUUUGCAGUGUUUAAGAUGGAUUUUAAAGGCAAAUAGUUGCUUUCUAGAAGCUUAGCAAAUAGAGUCAGAACUGCUUUUGAAUACUGGUUAGACAAGAGUCUGUUUUAGAGGGAAAGAACAGACUGUAUUAGAAAGGGUGGUGUUUCUAGGUGCACCAGAUUUUUUUUUUCUGUUGUUUGAAAGCAAUAGAAAACUAUUACUUAGGGAAAGAAAGAAAGAAGCAUUUAUGUACUCGGCUACCUAAAUGAUGCAGAAGGUGUUACUUUUGAGCACUGUAAUAUUAAACUUCACCUGCAGCACCUUUAAUUUUAUGCUCAGAAAUUCACUGUGGACUUCCAUAAUGAGAUGAAGAAAAAAAGGAAACUGGGAAAAAAAAAAAAGUCAGUACUAUAAUUUCUAAACAACUCAAUAGAAAAUUGAUUUGCAAAUACUUGUUUUGAAAACUAUGAAAGCUACUUGAAGUAUCACAAUUUUUUAAAGCACAAGUUUAGUCCUUCAUGGUACAUUCAGUAAUUUAACAUUUGAAAACAUAAAACUUGAUUGAUCUUGAUUGCUUUCCUGCAAAUGCAUUCAUUUGUGCUUGACUAUUUAUAAGUUUGGGAUAUCUUUCAGGAUGAUUCUUCUUUACAUUUUAUCAAUUCUGACUCUAAAUGCUGUUUGUAAUUGUGCCUGUAAAAACAAUUGUAUUGCUUACAGUUACUAAGCAUCAACAUCUGAGGAAUGACAUGGGUAGGAUAUAAUUUGUACAUUCUAAAUCUAUAGACUUUUAUUACAGUUAAUCAGCAAUACACAACUCAGAUUUUUAUUUUGUUUCUUUUCCUGCUUCAUCUGCUUGGACUCUGAUCUUACACUGGCAUCGAUAUGUGUUUAGCAUAAACAUUGCAAACAUUCUCAUUGAAUUCAGUUUAAAAGGUGUAGAUACUAAAGUUCAAAAAAAGAGAAUCAAUAGUGACGUUCCUAAGAAAUCAAAACAAUGUAUCUGGUUACAUCAGAUGCUAUAGUACUUGAUUUUUAAUUCCUACAUGCUUAAAUGAAUGAGCACCUAUGCAGAUGAGGCUGAGAUGCUGUUGGUACAACUCAGUGAGCUUCCAGCUGAGUGGAUGAUCUGGCUGCCCGAAUCUGUUUCAGCUGUGGGCCUAUCUUACAGUCAAGCCUAGAUACUCAAAUAGUUACACUUAAGAUUAAUUUUGAAUAUGUGCACUGUCUUGUGGAAGGUAAAUGUGUGAAAUACAGCUGGUUUGACUGCUUGCCAAUCAGAGCAAUAUAUUUGACUUUCCUUUGACUCUCUUGGAUUUUGGAUUUAUUCUGAGGUUUGUAUUUUUUAAAAAGCAGUUAGCUUCAUGUCUCUGCAAAGCUCAAUUAUAUAAGACAUUUGGAAAAAAGAACAUGAGAUUAAAUCAAUGACAAUUCAUCAUAUUAUGUCUCACUCUGACAAGCUCAAUUUUAAGAAUAUUUGCAUUUCUUAUACCUGUUUCCCUGUACUUUCCCCAGGAUGGUGCCAGCCCAGAGCGAGGGUUGCUAGUACUGUAUGCCCAUCAGAAAGGGAGAGUAAUCUUUGUUAUUUGCAAAGAAGGAAGUGGCUAACUAAGAGCAUGCACCUAAUCUCAGCCUAGAAUAACAUGAAUGUGAGGAAGUGCCUCCCCUCUCUCCUUCUAGGGUUUAGCACAUGAAUAGAAUUGCUUUUUUUUGGUAUAUCAAGUUCUCUGGCUACUUCAGAGAUUGAACCUAGUCAGGAAGGAGCAGAAUUAAAAACAGUUUUAUCCCACAUAAUGCAGCUACAACACUUAUUCUGUGUCUUUGCACUCAUGGAUUGGUUUUGAACAUACUGUUGUAGUAAUCCAGAAUGAGAUGAGGCCUCACGCUGACUACCUCUCAUGCAAUAAACCCCAAGCUCAUAUAGUAGUUAAUAUUGAUUACAGUUGAGCAUCUUUUGGCCACAUGAUUCAGGGAGGUACUAUGGGGGGAAUAGUAAUUUAAUUACUAUUUAAUUUAAUUAAGACUUUAUUCCAGUGAUGUAUGUGGUAUACACAAUAUCCAUAAUACCGACUCCAACUGAGAGAGGUCCUACAGCUUCUGGUAGGAAAUAAAGGUGAACCUGGCUUUGCUAUAGUUUAUGUUGUGCUCUAAAAUGUAACAAAAGAUGUCAUCUGUUUCCUUCAGGCUGAUCUGGACUUACCAGGAUAUUGUGUCCAAAACACACACACACGCAAUUCUAGUUAUUGAGGGAACAUGACGCUUCUUUACCUGUUGCAAUGUAGUUGGAUAAUGCAUGUACAAAUGACUUGUUUAGCCUGCCAAUGAAUGUUGCUAAUGCCUUACCAAAAAAAAAAAAAAAAG
rnacentral:lncRNA from 1 species